UCACUCCUUCCUCACCCCAAACACACUUUGGUUGAGCCAAGGAGUUUUACAACAAUUCUAGUUAACCCUCAACAACCUACACUUGAAAGAUCACUCACCCAAUUAAGAACUAUUUUAUACAAAUGAGGCAACCUUCACCAAGGUUUUACCACUUCAAGUGAUAGGUUCACCUUCACCAAGGUUUUACUUCUCCUAGAGAGUAACCUUCACUUGAGCAACCUCACAACCCAACUUCCCCAACCCCUUAUACAACCAACAAAGAAUCUUUCUACUCAAAAAUCUCACUUGUAAGCUUGUAUUUUGUGUUGGCAAAAGUCUUGUGUCUUCUUGUGCUUUGGGGUGUUUAUAGAAGGUGAGAAAUGGCUCCAAAAGGCUCUCCAACGGUCAAAUAUUAAAUGCUGUCAAAACUAGCCGUUGGCCUGUCGGACGUCCGAACCACCUGUCGAACGUCCGAACCCUGCGUCCAAACCACCUGUCGGACGUCCGAACCCUGCGUCCGAACGUCGUCCAGAGAGUUAUCAAAUCUUCGUGGAAUUUUUAGGACGUCCGACACGAUCGAUGUGCGUCCGAAGAGUGUGUCCGAUCCAGCCGGACGUCCGAUGCUUCCUCACGAGCGUCCGACAGAAUAUCCUUCCUGAUGUUCUUCAUCCUUUCGGACGUCCGAUAGCUUCCUUUCGGACGUCCCACAUGAGUGCCCUGUUUUUGCUUCUUCUUUUGUGCCACAAGAAUCUGUUCUAACAAAUUGCUCACAUAAAAACAUUAGCCCAAAUCUACAUUUUGGUUUGUUAAUCAUCAAAACCAAGGAUUGAUCGACCAAGGUCAACAAUCUCCCCCUUUUUGAUGAUGACAAACAAAAUGAAGAUUUCUUUGAUCAAAUAAGUUCAAAUAAAACUCCCCCUUAGAAAAUGCCAACAUACAAAGAAAUUUCAAUAAAUCCUACUCCCCCUUUUGACAUCAAUCAAAAAGCAAACUCCCCCUUUAUUUUCCAAAUCAAGACCAUAUAGAAUGACAAAACUGUCAUGAUACCAAUUGUAAGUUUUUAUAGGGUUCUUGGGAGUUAGUACAACAUGAUCUAGCAAUCCACAUGGAUUUCAUACCUUUUCUCAUAUUUUUCUUUACAUAGCAAUCAUUUUGCAUAUGUCCAAAUUGACGACAAAAGUGACACAUGAUAGAAGUAUUUUGCACAUAAGUGGAUUUAAUGCAACUAAUUUUCUUACUUCUUAUCAUAGCAAACUUAUUUGUGCCUUGACAAGAUUUGCUUUCUUUUGUUUGAGAAAACUUUUAUUUUUCAUUUUGGAGAAACUCGUUCAAGUCAUUAAUUCUUUUCUUUAACAAAUUUUGUUCAUCCAACAUUUUUCCAUAAAACUUUGUUUUCUCUUCCAACUUCCUUUUCAAAUUAUUUUUGCAAUCAAAAACAUUUUUUUGAUUUUUUAAAUCAUCAUUUUCCAUUCUCAAACAUUUGUUUUCCUGAAAAAGUUUGGAGUUUUCUUCCAACAAAUCAUUUAUUUUUGUUUUCAAAUCUUUAUUUUUAGCAUAAGAUUUUCUCAAACUUUUAUGCAUUUUAAUCAUAAGAAUUUUCAUAUCAUCAUCUUCAUUAUCUUCAUCACAAGAAGAGUGAUAAGAAUUUACCUCAUCUUCUCCAAAGGCCAUUAGUGCCAUUUGUGCCAACUCUUCUUUUUCUCUUUUUGAAUUGUAUUCAUCCCAUGUAAUUUUGCAAUCUCCUCUUGAACUUCUCUUGUUGAAGAUCUUCUUGAAACUUUUGAUGUGAGGAGUUAUAUCAUUGUCCACUUCCAUGUUUUCAUUACCCAUGAAGGAUGGGUUAUCCCCCACUUGAGAUGCUUUAAAAGCUAUGCCUCUCUUAUACAUUCUUGCAUUUUCUUCCUCUUGCACUUUGAAUUGCAGCUUUAAUUCAUAAGAAGUUAGGGAAUUCACAAGAGAUUCAAUGGAUAUAGAAUUUAAAUCCUUUGCCUCUUCUAUAGCAUUUAUUUUGUUUUCCCAUUCUUUUGGCAAGGCAUUCAAAAUCUUUCUAUUUUUCUCUCCCAAAGAAUAUUCUUUUCCAAGCAAUUUAAGAUCUUGAAUAAUGUCACAAAAUCUACUACACAUCUUAUCAACAUUUUCAAGAGGAUGCAUUUUGAAAAAUUCAUAUUGAGAAACAAGCAAAGAUUUCUUUUGUUCUUUAAUAUCUUGGUUACCUUCAUGAAAUACACACAAUUUAUCCCAAAUAUCUUUAGUUGAUUUACAACCUUUAAUCCUACUAGAUUCAUUUACAUCUAAUGCAUUGUACAAUAUACACAUGGCCUUGGCAUUCAAAGAAAGGUAUCUCUUGUCUUUUUCAUUCAAUUCUUGUCUAGUCUUUAAUCUACUCAAAUUAGUGGUAGAGUCAAUUAUUCUGGCUUCAUAAGGACCAUCUUCUACCACAUACCAUAAUUCAAUAUAAACGGAUUGUAAGAAAAUCAUCAUUCUUUGUUUCCACAUGCUAAAAUAAGAACCAUUAAACAUAGGUGGUCUAUCAAUAGAUUGCCCUUCUAAAAAAGAAACUUUUAUGGUUGCCAUGAUCUUUACUCUAAGCGGUUAAGCUUGAUCAAAAGAGACCAAGCUCUGAUACCAAUUGUAAGUGCCCGGUGCAACCCAAUGAGUACAAACAAAUUCACAAUGAUGCACAAGGAUAUAUCAAAUUUAAGCACAAUAAAGAAAACUUAAUUAAAGAGAAAGGAUAAGAAAUGCAAACCAAAUAUCAAACCAAUAGUCUCUUCAAUUGAUGGCGAUGCUAACCAAGAUGUACAAGUGAAGGCUCACUCCUUCCUCACCCCAAACACACUUUGGUUGAGCCAAGGAGUUUUACAACAAUUCUAGUUAACCCUCAACAACCUACACUUGAAAGAUCACUCACCCAAUUAAGAACUAUUUUAUACAAAUGAGGCAACCUUCACCAAGGUUUUACCACUGCAAGUGAUAGGUUCACCUUCACUAAGGUUUUACUUCUCCUAGAGAGUAACCUUCACUUGAGCAACCUCACAACCCAACUUUCCCAACCCCUUAUACAACCAACAAAGAAUAUUUCUACUCAAAGAUCUCACUUGUAAGCUUGUAUAUAGUGUUGGCAAAAGGUCCCGUGUCUUCUUAUGCUUUGGGGUGUUUAUACAAGGUGAGAAAUGGCUCCAAAAGGCUCUCCAACGGUCAAAU
rnacentral:lncRNA from 1 species